CAGCAGCCGCGGUAAUACGUAUGUCACGAGCGUUAUCCGGAUUUAUUGGGCGUAAAGCGCGUCUAGGUGGUUAUAUAAGUCUGAUGUGAAAAUGCAGGGCUCAACUCUGUAUUGCGUUGGAAACUGUAUAACUAGAGUACUGGAGAGGUAAGCGGAACUACAAGUGUAGAGGUGAAAUUCGUAGAUAUUUGUAGGAAUGCCGAUGGGGAAGCCAGCUUACUGGACAGAUACUGACGCUGAAGCGCGAAAGCGUGGGUAGCAAACAGGAUUAGAUACCCGUGUAGUCCCUGUCUCUUAUACA
rnacentral:rRNA from 1 species